UAAGCGUUCGUUGACGUUGAUGGC
rnacentral:piRNA from 1 species